CAGUGGUUCGUGUUGCUUUUACAGCAGCGUUUGGCAAUUUGGUUUUUCGCAUUGUCUUGCUUGACUCUCCAGAUAGGAUUAGCAUGCUAAAAGUUCAGUUUCUUUUUGGAUGUAUUUGGACGUCAUCUUUAUUCCCAGCAGUAAAAUGGGUUGAGUUGUUGAUCUCAGAGCUUCAGGCCUGCAAGAUGGAUCAGCUUGAUGCAUGAAUAUGAGGCUAAAAAGUUUAGGAUGGAUGAGCUGCUGUUAAGAGGCGUUAAUAAACUGCUCCCAGCAGUGAUUGUAAAGAUCAAGAACAGAGAUUAGCUUAAUAUAUGUUGCAACAAGGGGGAAGCUAGCUGCUGGAAUCAUAGCCUAGUCCUCAGGAUGUUUAUAUAUUGCUCCCAGCAGUGGUAGUCAAGAUUCAGCGUGA